CCUACGGGAGGCAGCAGUAAGGAAUAUUGGACAAUGCUCGCAAGAGUGAUCCAGCCAUGCCGCGUGCAGGAAGACGGCCCUAUGGGUUGUAAACUGCUUUUGAACUAGAGAAAACCCUUCUACGUGUAGAAGGCUGAUAGUAUAGUUAGAAUAAGCAUCGGCUAACUUCGUGCCAGCAGCCGCGGUAAGACGAAGGAUGCAAGCGUUAUCCGGAUUCAUUGGGUUUAAAGGGAGCGUAGGUGGACUGAUAAGUCAGUGGUGAAAUCUCUCGGCUUAACCGAGAAAUUGCCAUUGAUACUGUUGGUCUUGAGUACAGUUGCUGUGGGCGGAAUAUGACAUGUAGUGGUGAAAUACAUAGAGAUGUCAUAGAACACCGAUUGCGAAGGCAGCUCACAAAGCUGUAACUGACACUGAGGCUCGAAAGUGCGGGGAGUCAAACAGGAUUAGAUACCCUGGUAGUCCGCACUGUAAACGAUGAUUACUCGCUGCUGGGAGGUAACUUUCAGUGGCUUAGCGAAAGCGAUAGUAAUCCACGNGGNGACGCGCGACGAGACGACGAGAGUAGUUAGGNGNGNGGAGNGCGACGACGACGACGAGGAGGGAGGAG
rnacentral:rRNA from 1 species